GAGACUCGAGAUUAGUCAUUUGAAUCUUUGGUGAGUGUUUUCCGAAUUUAUAUGUUAAACUGCUUAUGUGUACUUAAGUGCAAUUAUAUGACAAAUGUGCUUAUUAUGAAAUAUUGUUAAGUGAUUCAUUGUGAAGUGUUUUCAAUUGUCUCUCGCCUUCUAAGUCGAGGGUGUACUUUAUCACAUUCUACUUAGUUGAGGUUGAAGGUUGAUAAUUGAUCAAGUGAUAUUGUAAGUGUGCAUGACUGUAAGCCAUGUGUGUACCUUAUCACACUGGCUGAAAUGGGCCCCAAAACCCUCUGUUCAACGGACUAUUCGAGCCAGCAAAGGGCUUGGUCAGGUAGGACGGUAGCUUUGGGUAAGUAUUUCGGUAUACUCGAGUAUUACCACGGAAUAGCAGAUUACCGAUAUUGAUAUGGCCAUCCAAGUGAGGGAAGUGUUCAUUAUUUUGGAGGUUAUAAGGAGGAGUUCGGUGGAGUGUGUAGUGCAUUGAAGUGGCUCUAAUGCGAGCACCGUAUCCUUUUAAAAGUGAUUGUUUGGUGAUGUGCUUCCUCAAUUGCUUAAUGAAAGUGAUUGUACAGUGAAAUGUGCACUACUCGCUCAACUGUACUGAUUUAAGUGCUUAUUGAUUGUUGCUUGCAUGGAAACCUCACGAGCGUAAGCUCACCCUUUUAGCUUUGUUUUCCUUACAGGAGUUGGAGAUGGAAAACUGAUUGGAUGGAAUUGGAAAGUUGUUUUGGGAAAUUCCAUCACUAUGUGUAUAUAUUGGAGUCACGUUUUCUUUUGUAUUUUAAGAUGGUUGAAUCUUCUGUUUUGAGUUGAUGUAAUAUUAAGAAUGGAUGUUUAGAACGUGUAUUUUAUUUCUUUUAGUGGACAAAUCUAUGUUUCAAGCUGAUUAGAGUGGUACUUAAGAGUGAAUGUUCAGUUGUUCUGAAGUUAAUGUAAGUGAGUGAGUCCUGACGAGAGCCAGGCAGGUUCCAAUUCAAA
rnacentral:lncRNA from 1 species